rnacentral:rRNA from 1 species
AGAGUUUGAUCAUGGCUCAGAUUGAACGCUGGCGGCAGGCCUAACACAUGCAAGUCGAGCGGUAGCACAGAGAGCUUGCUCUCGGGUGACGAGCGGCGGACGGGUGAGUAAUGUCUGGGAAACUGCCUGAUGGAGGGGGAUAACUACUGGAAACGGUAGCUAAUACCGCAUAACGUCGCAAGACCAAAGUGGGGGACCUUCGGGCCUCAUGCCAUCAGAUGUGCCCAGAUGGGAUUAGCUAGUAGGUGGGGUAACGGCUCACCUAGGCGACGAUCCCUAGCUGGUCUGAGAGGAUGACCAGCCACACUGGAACUGAGACACGGUCCAGACUCCUACGGGAGGCAGCAGUGGGGAAUAUUGCACAAUGGGCGCAAGCCUGAUGCAGCCAUGCCGCGUGUGUGAAGAAGGCCUUCGGGUUGUAAAGCACUUUCAGCGGGGAGGAAGGCGAUAAGGUUAAUAACCUUGUCGAUUGACGUUACCCGCAGAAGAAGCACCGGCUAACUCCGUGCCAGCAGCCGCGGUAAUACGGAGGGUGCAAGCGUUAAUCGGAAUUACUGGGCGUAAAGCGCACGCAGGCGGUCUGUCAAGUCGGAUGUGAAAUCCCCGGGCUCAACCUGGGAACUGCAUUCGAAACUGGCAGGCUAGAGUCUUGUAGAGGGGGGUAGAAUUCCAGGUGUAGCGGUGAAAUGCGUAGAGAUCUGGAGGAAUACCGGUGGCGAAGGCGGCCCCCUGGACAAAGACUGACGCUCAGGUGCGAAAGCGUGGGGAGCAAACAGGAUUAGAUACCCUGGUAGUCCACGCCGUAAACGAUGUCGAUUUGGAGGUUGUGCCCUUGAGGCGUGGCUUCCGGAGCUAACGCGUUAAAUCGACCGCCUGGGGAGUACGGCCGCAAGGUUAAAACUCAAAUGAAUUGACGGGGGCCCGCACAAGCGGUGGAGCAUGUGGUUUAAUUCGAUGCAACGCGAAGAACCUUACCUGGUCUUGACAUCCACAGAACUUUCCAGAGAUGGAUUGGUGCCUUCGGGAACUGUGAGACAGGUGCUGCAUGGCUGUCGUCAGCUCGUGUUGUGAAAUGUUGGGUUAAGUCCCGCAACGAGCGCAACCCUUAUCCUUUGUUGCCAGCGGUCCGGCCGGGAACUCAAAGGAGACUGCCAGUGAUAAACUGGAGGAAGGUGGGGAUGACGUCAAGUCAUCAUGGCCCUUACGACCAGGGCUACACACGUGCUACAAUGGCAUAUACAAAGAGAAGCGACCUCGCGAGAGCAAGCGGACCUC